UCACCACCAUCUCCCUGAAGGGACGUAGGGCAGCUGACACACAGCACAAAAGUGCCUAAAACAGAGCAUAAAAUAAAAUACAAUAUAAAAAUGCAAUUAAAUAAAACAAAUAAGCAUAUAAAACAACAAUUUAAAACUCUAUUUACAACUCAAUUAGAAUCAUAAAGCUGAAAGAGAGCUCAAAGACCAUCCAGUCCAAAUUCCUACCAUGCAGGAAUACACAAAGCACUCCUGAAAGAUGACCAUCUGGUCUCUGCUUAAAAACCUCCAGAGGCAGAUAUUCCACCGUACUCUGGGACAGCACAUGCCACUGUCAAACAGCUCUUACUCACAGCAUUUUUUUCCUAACGAUUAAGUGGAAUCUCUUUUCCUUUAGUUUUAAUCCAUUUCUCUAUCGCUUACUAGUUUCUGGAAUAGCAGAAAACAAGCUUGCUCCCUCCACAAUGUGAAAUCCUUUCAAAUAUUUAAACAUAGCUAUUAUGCCCCUUCUUCAUCUUAUUGUCUCCAGGGUAAACAUACCCAUUUCUCAGGGCCCUUCCUGUUGUGACUGCGCCUUCGGGGAUUAUGGUUGAUGGUGAUGGGAUUUGAAGAGGAAGAAAAAACCCUCGUGAUGAGGGUUCGCUGGAGGAGUUUCACAGGAAGCGACUUAGAGAGCUAUAUGGGGGAUCUUCUGAGGAAGAUUCAGAUGGGGAGUUUGGGGAAAUGGAUGCUGAGGAACAGGUGGUGGCUGGGGAAGUGGGCACUGAAUGAGCACAGCCACCGGAGAUGUCUGGGGAUUUGGGGCCUACGGAUACUACUGAACCUGGGGUUUCUGCAGGAGCUGAUCCCACUUGGGAUGCUUGGAGAAGGGAGGAUGGUUCUUUAAGUGUUCAUGGGGCUAAGUGUGGACAGGAUGAUUGGGACUCCGACGAAUUGCUAGGUACUCCGGAUCCACAAGCUCUAGCUGUGUGGAGUUCGGACUCUGAGUAGAUUUGGGACACCUGGUGUUUGGGUGUGAGUGUUUGGUCACCCAGGAGGAAGGGGAAUAAAAUGGGAAUGUUUGGCCACUGCACUUUGCGUGUGGCAAGGUGUUGCUGAGGCGCUAUUGGGAUCUCUGUGUUUCCGUGAAGACUGGACUUGGACUGUGAUUCGGAUCUGCUGAUACCAUCUGGCUUGGCUCUCGCUGUGUCUUAUCGUGGACCUGGUUUGGAUGACUGCACCCUCUUUGGACUUUGGAUUGAAUUUGACCUGGCUUCUGUCUACGCCCUCUGACUGACGACUACUCCCGGCUUCUGACUACUGGUUUGCCUUUCGGAAUUUGCUGCUGCCUCCUGACCUGACCUUGGAUUCUCCUGAUGACGGCUAUUUAUCAUCCCUUUGAAGCUUCGGCUUUAUCUGCACCGUGGAAGCAGUUUAUUGCUCUUCUAGUUUGUUUGUUUUCAAGCCAGUUUGCUGUUUUUCUUUUGGGAACUGUCCCUUUAAAUCCGCAGAGCCGGCUGUCUGUUUUCAGAAACGGUUUGAAGCCAAAAGAGGCUUUUGCAUUUUCAGUUAUACUCUGCAGCUUUUGUAAGGUUUCAAGCCUUCGUUUAUUUUGUAUAUUAUCUUGCAGUCAACUCUAUUUGUUCUCCAAAGCUGAAUUGAAGCGUCUUUUUAGUUUUUAUUGAAUGCCAGCAUGGGAAAAUAGCAUGGCUUGUUUUUGAGUUAUUUUUGUCCAAACUACUCUUGAAACACUGAUAAGUGAAGUGUUUCAAGGAUACUUUCUGUGUUUAUGUUAUUUUUUGGCUUAUCUUCGGAAUAAACUCUGUUUUGUUUGUUAA